ACUACUUCAUCUUGGAUAAAUAAUUUUUCAAGAAGAUAAUAUGUUGGAUCACAAUCACAUUGUGAUCCUAUUAGAAAGUAGUAUCCCAAACUCUUUUAGGAUGAGCUUUAUAGACCUAUCCUCUAACAUAUCCAUCUGCUAUCCUUGACACAGGCUGGACAUCCUUGGAUCUUGAAAUAACUAAGAUUAAGUUCUCACUAUACCAUAUCUCAUA
rnacentral:lncRNA from 1 species